CACUGCUUUAGUGCUUUGGUAGAUGUAAAAACAGGUUGGAACUCAAGCUCAUGGCAAUGUUUUGAGCCACUCCAUUGUAAACAGGAAGAUAUGUAUAACUGUGGAGUGUACAUAUGCUUGUUUGCUCGAUGUCUAGCCCUUGGCUUGGAUCAAAAACCAGCAAACAUGGAGACUGAGAGAAAACGAAUCCUUUCAACAUUACUUGGGUCUUGCUAUGAUGAUAUCACACAAUAAGGCAUAAAUAACAUUUGGCUGAAUAUUUUUAUAUGGAAUUCAUUAUGAAUAUCUUAGGAAGCAAAAUGUGGCUGUUUGCAAAAUAUGCAGAGAGGAUGACAAUGAAGACUGGCUGAGUUGUGAUCAAUAUGGUCAAUUUUUUCAUUCAAGUUGCCUUAAUGUUGACUUUGCCAUAACCUUGUCAACACAUUAUAGAUGCAGAUAAAAUUUUAUCAAUAUUAUUUGACAUGCAACAAAAUCAUUGUUAUGGUAUCAGUGCAAAUUGUGUAAUUAAAAUGAGUGCUUCAAAAUAUAGUAAUGUGUGAAUGAUAAAUACUUUAAUUCAAGAUAAAAUGAACUGGAAAAUUAAAUUGAUUCGUCACGAUUGUGCUUGCCACUAAUUGAAUCUCAGACAUGCUAUGAAUAGUUUGAAACUGUUGAUGAAAUGUUACCAUAAACUACAAGUUUUACAAAUAUAUCUGAAAUAAAAUGGCUUAUUCUUAUUUCU